GUCUACGGCAAUGCCACCCUGAACAAGCCAGAUCCCAUCUGAUCUUGCAAGCUAAGCAGGGUUGGGCUUGGUUAGUAUUUGGAUGGGAGACCACCUAAGAAGACCAAGUGCUGUUGGUG
rnacentral:rRNA from 1 species